GAUGUUCACGAGAAUGGUAGAGAUCACACUCUGUUGUUAGGAAGACCCUUUAUGGUAACCACUAACACGUUGAUUGAUGUUAAAAAUGGAACUAUUAAAAUGACGGUGUUAGGGAAGUCGGUGUCUUUCUCGGUGCAUGAAAAUCGUGCAAUACCUUCUGCAAAUUUUAUUAAUGAAUGCUCAUAUAUAGAUGCUAUUAAUGGCUUGGUUGAGAAGGUAUUUGUGCAGGAACAGGAGUGUGUGG
rnacentral:lncRNA from 1 species